rnacentral:rRNA from 1 species
AUACGUAGGGGGCGAGCGUUGUCCGGAAUGAUUGGGCGUAAAGGGCGCGUAGGCGGCCCGGAAAGUCUGGAGUGAAAGUCCUGUUUUUAAGAUGGGAAUUGCUUUGGAUACUGUCGGGCUUGAGUGCAGGAGAGGUAAGUGGAAUUCCCAGUGUAGCGGUGAAAUGCGUAGAGAUUGGGAGGAACACCAGUGGCGAAGGCGACUUACUGGACUGUAACUGACGCUGAGGCGCGAAAGUGUGGGGAGCAAACAGGAUUAGAUACCCUGGUAGUCCACACUGUAAACGAUGAAUGCUAGGUGUAGGGGGUAUCGACCCCUUCUGUGCCGCAGUCAACACAAUAAGCAUUCCGCCUGGGGAGUACGGCCGCAAGGUUGAAACUCAAAGGAAUUGACGGGG